rnacentral:rRNA from 1 species
GGGACACGUGGUAUCCUGUCUGAAUAUGGGGGGACCAUCCUCCAAGGCUAAAUACUCCUGACUGACCGAUAGUGAACCAGUACCGUGAGGGAAAGGCGAAAAGAACCCCGGCGAGGGGAGUGAAAAAGAACCUGAAACCGUGUACGUACAAGCAGUGGGAGCACCUUCGGGUGUGACUGCGUACCUUUUGUAUAAUGGGUCAGCGACUUAUAUUCUGUAGCAAGGUUAACCGUAUAGGGGAGCCGCAGGGAAACCGAGUCUUAACUGGGCGUUAAGUUGCAGGGUAUAGACCCGAAACCCGGUGAUCUAGCCAUGGGCAGGUUGAAGGUUGGGUAACACUAACUGGAGGACCGAACCGACUAAUGUUGAAAAAUUAGCGGAUGACUUGUGGCUGGGGGUGAAAGGCCAAUCAAACCGGGAGAUAGCUGGUUCUCCCCGAAAGCUAUUUAGGUAGCGCCUCGUGAACUCAUCUUCGGGGGUAGAGCACUGUUUCGGCUAGGGGGUCAUCCCGACUUACCAACCCGAUGCAAACUACGAAUACCGAAGAAUGUUAUCACGGGAGACACACGGCGGGUGCUAACGUCCGUCGUGAAGAGGGAAACAACCCAGACCGCCAGCUAAGGUCCCAAAGUCAUGGUUAAGUGGGAAACGAUGUGGGAAGGCACAGACAGCCAGGAUGUUGGCUUAGAAGCAGCCAUCAUUUAAAGAAAGCGUAAUAGCUCACUGGUCGAGUCGGCCUGCGCGGAAGAUGUAACGGGGCUAAACCAUGCACCGAAGCUGCGGCAGCGACACUAUGUGUUGUUGGGUAGGGGAGCGUUCUGUAAGCCUGCGAAGGUGUGCUGUGAGGCAUGCUGGAGGUAUCAGAAGUGCGAAUGCUGACAUAAGUAACGAUAAAGCGGGUGAAAAGCCCGCUCGCCGGAAGACCAAGGGUUCCUGUCCAACGUUAAUCGGGGCAGGGUGAGUCGACCCCUAAGGCGAGGCCGAAAGGCGUAGUCGAUGGGAAACAGGUUAAUAUUCCUGUACUUGGUGUUACUGCGAAGGGGGGACGGAGAAGGCUAUGUUAGCCGGGCGACGGUUGUCCCGGUUUAAGCAUGUAGGCUGGUUGUCCAGGCAAAUCCGGAUAAUCAAGGCUGAGGUGUGAUGACGAGGCACUACGGUGCUGAAGUAACAAAUGCCCUGCUUCCAGGAAAAGCCUCUAAGCAUCAGGUAACAU